rnacentral:rRNA from 1 species
UGCGUAGGUGGUGAGUUAAGUCUGAUGUGAAAUCCCCGGGCUCAACCUGGGAAUGGCAUUGGAUACUGGCUCGCUAGAGUGCGGUAGAGGGUGGUGGAAUUCCCGGUGUAGCAGUGAAAUGCGUAGAGAUCGGGAGGAACAUCUGUGGCGAAGGCGGCCACCUGGACCAGCACUGACACUGAGGCACGAAAGCGUGGGGAGCAAACAGGAUUAGAUACCCUGGUAGUCCACGCCCUAAACGAUGCGAACUGGAUGUUGGGCUCAACUUGGAGCUCAGUAUCGAAGCUAACGCGUUAAGUUCGCCGCCUGGGGAGUACGGUCGCAAGACUGAA